rnacentral:rRNA from 1 species
UACAGAGGUCUCAAGCGUUGUUCGGAAUCACUGGGCGUAAAGCGUGCGUAGGCUGUUUCGUAAGUCGUGUGUGAAAGGCGCGGGCUCAACCCGCGGACGGCACAUGAUACUGCGAGACUAGAGUAAUGGAGGGGGAACCGGAAUUCCUAGUGUAGCGGUGAAAUGCGUAGAUAUUAGGAGGAACACCGGUGGCGAAGGCGGCUUUCUGGACUGAAACUGACGCUGAGGUACGAAAGCGUGGGGAGCAAACAGG